rnacentral:rRNA from 1 species
AUUGAACGCUGGCGGCAGGCCUAACACAUGCAAGUCGAACGGUAACAGGAAGAAGCUUGCUUCUUUGCUGACGAGUGGCGGACGGGUGAGUAAUGUCUGGGAAACUGCCUGAUGGAGGGGGAUAACUACUGGAAACGGUAGCUAAUACCGCAUAACGUCGCAAGACCAAAGAGGGGGACCCUCGGGCCUCUCGCCAUCGCAUGUGCCCAGAUGGGAUUAGCUAGUAGGUGGGGUAACGGCUCACCUAGGCGACGAUCCCUAGCUGGUCUGAGAGGAUGACCAGCCACACUGGAACUGAGACACGGUCCAGACUCCUACGGGAGGCAGCAGUGGGGAAUAUUGCACAAUGGGCGCAAGCCUGAUGCAGCCAUGCCGCGUGUAUGAAGAAGGCCUUCGGGUUGUAAAGUACUUUCAGCGGGGAGGAAGGGAGUAAAGUUAAUACCUUUGCUCAUUGACGUUACCCGCAGAAGAAGCACCGGCUAACUCCGUG